GUUGUCCACACAUAGAAAUUGAGAGAAAAGAAGAGUGCUGUGAAAGAUUUUGAGAUUGCUUUUGAUUUCUGGUUUUGGUUUUCUUCUUCUGUUAAUUCCCCCCUCUAUUAAUCCCCGCUUCUCUGAAUCCCUUUCUGUUAAUCAUCUGUCUUUCAGGUUCUAUUUUUUGGGUUUGUUUUUCAGAAAAUUUUAUAAACAAAUGAGUAGAAAGCAAACUUAAGAAGGGUUUCUCGAAGGCCAGGUGAUUUCAGAAUCGAGAUCCAGGCUUUUUCAUUUUAAUUUCCCGAAGUUUUUUUCGUUGUUUUCUUUUUAUUUUUCAUAGCUGAAUCAGCUUGGAGGGUUAUUUUUUGGUCCCUCAAGGUUGGUUAUUAGGCCUUUCAAUCGUUUAGGGGUUGUCUAAUUUUAAACCUCUUUGAUCUUUCUUUCUUUCUAAAAAAAACCUGUUCUUGAACUUGUUCAAGUACGGGUGGGUUGUUUUUUAAAUCUUGAUUUUUAAUAAUCCUAGUUGAA
rnacentral:misc_RNA from 1 species